CCUACGGGGUGCAGCAGUGAGGAAUAUUGGUCAAUGGACGAGAGUCUGAACCAGCCAAGUAGCGUGAAGGAUGACUGCCCUAUGGGUUGUAAACUUCUUUUAUAUGGGAAUAAAAUGUUCCACGUGUGGGAUUUUGUAUGUACCAUAUGAAUAAGGAUCGGCUAACUCCGUGCCAGCAGCCGCGGUAAUACGGAGGAUCCGAGCGUUAUCCGGAUUUAUUGGGUUUAAAGGGAGCGUAGGUGGAUUGUUAAGUCAGUUGUGAAAGUUUGCGGCUCAACCGUAAAAUUGCAGUUGAAACUGGCAGUCUGGAGUACAGUAGAGGUAGGCGGAAUGCGUGGUGUAGCGGUGAAAUGCUUAGAUAUCACGAAGAACUCCGAUUGCGAAGGCAGCUCACUGGACUGCAACUGACGCUGAGGCUCGAAAGUGUGGGUAUCAAACAGGAUUAGAUACCCCUGUAGUC
rnacentral:rRNA from 1 species